rnacentral:rRNA from 1 species
AGCGAACGUUUGCGGCGGGCCUAACACAUGCAAGUCGAACGGGCUAGCAAUAGUCAGUGGCGCACGGGUGCGUAACACGUGGGUAAUCAACCCUUCAGCUCGGGAUAACGCCUUGAAAGGGGCGCUAAUACCGGAUGCGACGCGAGGAGCCUCGGCGCUUCGCGGGAAAGAUUCGCAAGGAUCACUGAAGGACGAGCCUGCGGCCCAUCAGCUAGUUGGUGAGGUAAGAGCUCACCAAGGCGAAGACGGGUAGCUGGUCUGAGAGGAUGAUCAGCCACACUGGAACUGAGACACGGUCCAGACUCCUACGGGAGGCAGCAGUGGGGAAUAUUGCGCAAUGGGCGAAAGCCUGACGCAGCCAGCCGCGUGAGCGAUGAAGGCCU